GGCCCUACGGGGUGCAGCAGGCGCGAAAACUUUACAAUGCUGGGAACAGCGAUAAGGGAACCUCGAGUGCCAGGUUACAAAUCUGGCUGUCGAGAUGCCUAAAAAGCAUUUCAUAGCAAGGGCCGGGCAAGACCGGUGCCAGCCGCCGCGGUAACACCGGCGGCUCGAGUGGUAACCGUUAUUAUUGGGUCUAAAGGGUCUGUAGCCGGCCGGAUAAGUCUCUUGGGAAAUCUGGCAGCUUAACUGUCAGGCUUUCAGGGGAUACUGUCUGGCUCGAGGCCGGGAGAGGUGAGAGGUACUUCAGGGGUAGGGGUGAAAUCUUGUAAUCCUUGAAGGACCACCAGUGGCGAAGGCGUCUCACCAGAACGGACCUGACGGCAAGGGACGAAAGCUAGGGGCACGAACCGGAUUAGAUACCCGGGUAGUCCUAGCCGUAAACGAUACUCGCUAGGUGUCGGCCACGGUGCGACCGUUGUCGGUGCCGUAGGGAAGCCGUGAAGCGAGCCACCUGGGAAGUACGGCCGCAAGGCUGAAACUUAAAGGAAUUGGCGGGGGAGCACCACAACGGGUGGAGCUUGCGGUUUAAUUGGAUUCAACGCCGGAAAUCUU
rnacentral:rRNA from 1 species